UACGUAGGGGGCAAGCGUUGUCCGGAUUUAUUGGGCGUAAAGAGCGUGUAGGCGGUUCGGUAGGUCCGUUGUGAAAACUCGAGGCUCAACCUCGAGCUGUCGGUGGAAACUGUGUGGCUAGAGUCCGGAAGAGGAGAGUGGAAUUCCCGGUGUAGCGGUGAAAUGCGCAGAUAUCGGGAAGAACACCCGUGGCGAAGGCGGCUCUCUGGGACGGUACUGACGCUGAGACGCGAAAGCGUGGGGAGCGAACAGG
rnacentral:rRNA from 1 species